UACGUAGGGUGCGAGCGUUGUCCGGAAUUAUUGGGCGUAAAGAGCUCGUAGGCGGUUUGUCGCGUCUGCUGUGAAAACCCGAGGCUCAACCUCGGGCCUGCAGUGGGUACGGGCAGACUAGAGUGCGGUAGGGGAGAUUGGAAUUCCUGGUGUAGCGGUGGAAUGCGCAGAUAUCAGGAGGAGCACCAAUGGCGAAGGCAGAUCUCUGGGCCGUAACUGACGCUGAGGAGCGAAAGCAUGGGGAGCGAACAGG
rnacentral:rRNA from 1 species